rnacentral:lncRNA from 1 species
AUGUUUUGGAAACAUCACAUCUACCAGAAAAAUAAGGGAGCGCAGCGGUACGGUGGUGCAGUCGAGCGGUGCUGGUUUAAGCUGCCCAUAUCCUGCUGCUUGUUCCCAUGCUCCCUGUUUCGUGUCCCGCACGGUUGCCUGCGGGGCCAGGCAGUGACCUGUUCGGAGUUAAAAAUAACAAGUAUCUUUCUGUCUUUCGUGGUUAUUGUCGUUGCUUUGAGCUGGAGCAGUUCGCUGGUUCGCUGCAUGGCUCCGGCGUGCGCCCGCGCGGCCCGAAAAGGACUCCUGAAAAACCGGCAGGAGAUGAAUAGCCUUUGCCCGUCUCCAUUAAUUUCCUGAGCAGCGCGGCGUGCUGGAAGAAGUUUCUGUGCGCGCCUGAACGGAAAGCUGUGCCAUCCUGAAAGUCGCUCCGUUUUCUGGCGGUUGUCUUCAUAGGUCACGGGAGAGGCCUAAACUUUGUGUUUUCUUUGCAGGCUCUCGCUCCCCCUCGUGUCUGCGGAGAGCUUUUGCAGCCUGUCAUCUUGCCUCAAACUGCCUUUACCUUUCUGUUUUCACAGUGGAGCGUGCGCGCUUCGGAGGGCUGCCUAGCUUUCAUGCUUCUGCUGCAACAGCUCGGGAUCGGCCAUUACAUUUCACUCGGCUUUUCAGGGUAAAAGGGGCCAGUUUGGCAAGCCAAGUAUUUCCGUGCAGUCCAGCGAUGAUUGCUAAUUUUCAUUCUCCAGUCAGGGCUUUAUUCCUGUAUUUCAGUGAUUAGCUUUUAGUUCCCCAAAGCUUUAUAUUCCUCGAGGUUGGAGCCAGUUCCCUUCCCUGCUCUGAANNNNNNNNNNNNNNNAAGAGCGUCCUUGGCUCAUUGGGCCCAAUGAUCGUUUCAUCUCUGUGCUGAAGUGGGUUUUUUAAAGCCUUUUCUCUUCGACUCAUUAGCACUUUUCCUAGAGCUGGGUACAUACGCAGCACGGUUCGGCAGCUCUCUGAUUAUCUCAGCGGUGUUGUUACCUGGGCCAUGGGACACUAGAGGCUGCCAGAAUACCCCAUGCAAUGGCAAAACCUUGCAUCUUUUUAUAACAAACAUUGAACGGAGGGUCGUGGGCGUUAGAAACCACCAUCCACAGGGUGGCAUCCGGCAGAGCGUGUUUUCACUGUGUCCUCCUCAUCUUUCACGUGAAGGGAUCAUACCUUUGGGGAAGAGGACCUUAAUGGGCUUAGUGCCCGAAACAGCCACAGCUCUCCCGUUAACGUCGACUGGAGUUUUACCAUCAGAUUACCUGAUUCUGCACCGCUUCUGAAGCAGUCGCUACUUUAUCGUGGUAGGCGGGGUGUUUUGGCAUUCCUUCUUAAACUU